UCGCGGCUUAUCACCGGCAGUCCCCUUAGAGUGCCCAGCCAAACCUGAUGGCAACUAAAGGCGAGGGUUGCGCUCGUUGCGGGACUUAACCCAACAUCUCACGUCACGAGCUGACGACAGCCAUGCAGCACCUGUGCGAGGGGUCCUCGCGGAAACGCGCAUCUCUGCGCGCGGCCCCUCCAUGUCAAGUCCUGGUAAGGUUCUGCGCGUUGCGUCGAAUUAAACCACAUGCUCCACCGCUUGUGCGGGCCCCCGUCAAUUCCUUUGAGUCUCAACCUUGCGGCCGUACUCCCCAGGCGGUGUGCUUAUCGCGUUAGCUACGACACUGAACAGUCAGACUGCCCAACAUCCAGCACACAUCGUUUACGGCGUGGACUAC
rnacentral:misc_RNA from 1 species